GGAUUAUAAAAAGGAGAAUCACCAAGUCAGUCAUUGUUACAGAUAAUUCUGCUAAUGUUUAAGUAAAAAUUAUAUAAAACAAUCUGAUUUUAUCUUGUUAACAAUGAUAUCCUGGAGAGUUAAGUUCAUGACUGUGUGCAACUUCUGAAGAAAUUACCAUGUAUUCAAAUGUUAUUGUCUUUGCUCACAGCAUUUCUGCACCUGCUAUCUUAUAAUUGUCAAUAGAGAAUAUUCACAUCUGCAAAGAAUGUAUCUUAUUUCAUUACAAUUAUAAGAUACUUCACUGGAUGUAAUUUUUUUCUCCUUCUGUCAUUCUUCCUGACCCCUUUUAAAAAUUUUUGCUUUGCUCUGUGCCCUUUUUCCAUCAGCCCUCGUGUCAGUUCCCUGGUGGGGUGUGCUGGGGACGUGCAGGGGGCACACUGAGGAGAGAUGCUGGAAGCAAACUGGAGAAUGAAAACUGGAGACCACAGUCAUGGUCCCUCUACAGAAGGUCUGGCCUCCAGUUGGUCUCUUGGCCAAAACACAGGGGAUGUGCUGUUUCUACAUAGGCAAGCUGUAACUUUAACAUAAACAAGCUGAUUUUCCUCUCCUUGCAUUUUCUUUUUGUUUUGUUGUUGUUUCUCCUGGUCAGGAAGAAAUGACUGGUUCUGUUCUUAUGUUGAGGGACCUUGUGAGCUUCUCUAGUAAGCUAAGUUUUAUGAGUGCAGUUCUCAUCCUCAAGUACACCUGGGCGCUCCUUGCUCAAGGCGCCAGUUCUCAGGGCCAUUUGUGGUUGAGAAAGGAGUGAGGCUUGAGCUCAUCGGUCUCAUAUCCAGAGUCUGGGAAGUCUCUGAGCAAGAAAACUCAAAGGAUGAAGGCUAUCUACGUGAGGAAGGAAUUAUGGUCAUCUCAGAUUUAUUGUUGGUAAAUCACACUUUUUCUCCAUCCAUAAAAAUACUGAUUCCCUCUCCCAGGAUGUUAACCUGUAUUUGUAAUUACUUCUCAAAACCAAAAACAGAAUCAGUUUCUGAAGUACUGUGUGUAUUUUUCUGGGUGGAGUUUGGUAUUUGGAGACUUUCAUUUUGAAUUUUAAGUAUU
rnacentral:lncRNA from 1 species